AGCUGGUGGUAUCAAAUCAUCUUUGAACUUAGCCUUAAGGGACUACAGUCACUGUACCAAUAGUAAUGGGUUGUUGCUGAUCGAGGCCAGAAUUGAGAGUGAUGAAGGAGAAGGAAAGUCCGGUUGUGUUGGGUUGAGGAGGGGUUGUUGAACGUCAAGGACAUUAGCCCAGGACAUCAGAGGGGGAGUAAGUAGAAGAUGAGCUUUUCAGCUGUAGAGAAGUUCAUCAACAACCUUACCAGCCAAAACAAUGUGCACGCAGGGUGGGGUGUGAGGAACCCAGGUUAAGGGACAGACUAGAACUUUCCGAUAUGAUGCCGUCAUUAUAUUGUACAGGGCGGGGGGAUUAUUCUCAUUUAGUCUAUAAAACAUGAAUGUUGGGGCAGCAAGAGUUGUCUUUUCCUGUAUGUGUUUGUGAACGCACAUCUGCCUUGCCGAAAUAAACCAUAAAGCUGCCUUGAGCCGUUGAAAGAUAUUUUGCCUUCGACUACUUUUUUCUACUACCUUCUACGGAGGUCUGUUUUCUACAACAGUAGGAUCAUGAUUUUGCAUACCAUUGAUCACAGAGGUCCCGAUUAGGUGAACACGGGGGAGAAAAUGUGAAGGAGAACAGCGGAGCACGGAGCCGUGAUACUCGUGCUAAUGGCGCCUGAGGGACCGCCUGUAGUUUCUUUGUUUUGUGUUAACGUUUUGCUUUGACGUAAACAGUGUUUUUAUUUUACUUUGUGAACACCUAGUACGGCAGUGUGCUUACUAGGUUCUGUCGUCCCUGAAAGAAGAAAUACAACCAAUAUAUUACCUUCAA